GCUAGGCAUGGUGGUGCAUGCCUGUAGUCCCAGCUACUUGGGAGGCUGAGGUGGGAGGAUCACUGGAGCCUGGGAGGUCAAGGCUGCAGUAAGCCGUGAACAUGCCACUGCACUCUAGCCUGGGCAACAGAGCAAGACCCCAUCUCAA
rfam:Pongo abelii chromosome 15.